AGAGUUUGAUCCUGGCUCAGGAUGAACGCCGGCGGUGUGCCUAAUACAUGCAAGUCGUACGCACUGGCCCAACUGAUUGAUGGUGCUUGCACCUGAUUGACGAUGGAUCACCAGUGAGUGGCGGACGGGUGAGUAACACGUAGGUAACCUGCCCCGGAGCGGGGGAUAACAUUUGGAAACAGAUGCUAAUACCGCAUAACAACAAAAGCCACAUGGCUUUUGUUUGAAAGAUGGCUUUGGCUAUCACUCUGGGAUGGACCUGCGGUGCAUUAGCUAGUUGGUAAGGUAACGGCUUACCAAGGCGAUGAUGCAUAGCCGAGUUGAGAGACUGAUCGGCCACAAUGGAACUGAGACACGGUCCAUACUCCUACGGGAGGCAGCAGUAGGGAAUCUUCCACAAUGGGCGCAAGCCUGAUGGAGCAACACCGCGUGAGUGAAGAAGGGUUUCGGCUCGUAAAGCUCUGUUGUUGGAGAAGAACGUGCGUGAGAGUAACUGUUCACGCAGUGACGGUAUCCAACCAGAAAGUCACGGCUAACUACGUGCCAGCAGCCGCGGUAAUACGUAGGUGGCAAGCGUUAUCCGGAUUUAUUGGGCGUAAAGCGAGCGCAGGCGGUUGCUUAGGUCUGAUGUGAAAGCCUUCGGCUUAACCGAAGAAGUGCAUCGGAAACCGGGCGACUUGAGUGCAGAAGAGGACAGUGGAACUCCAUGUGUAGCGGUGGAAUGCGUAGAUAUAUGGAAGAACACCAGUGGCGAAGGCGGCUGUCUGGUCUGCAACUGACGCUGAGGCUCGAAAGCAUGGGUAGCGAACAGGAUUAGAUACCCUGGUAGUCCAUGCCGUAAACGAUGAGUGCUAGGUGUUGGAGGGUUUCCGCCCUUCAGUGCCGGAGCUAACGCAUUAAGCACUCCGCCUGGGGAGUACGACCGCAAGGUUGAAACUCAAAGGAAUUGACGGGGGCCCGCACAAGCGGUGGAGCAUGUGGUUUAAUUCGAAGCUACGCGAAGAACCUUACCAGGUCUUGACAUCUUGCGCUAACCUUAGAGAUAAGGCGUUCCCUUCGGGGACGCAAUGACAGGUGGUGCAUGGUCGUCGUCAGCUCGUGUCGUGAGAUGUUGGGUUAAGUCCCGCAACGAGCGCAACCCUUGUUACUAGUUGCCAGCAUUAAGUUGGGCACUCUAGUGAGACUGCCGGUGACAAACCGGAGGAAGGUGGGGACGACGUCAGAUCAUCAUGCCCCUUAUGACCUGGGCUACACACGUGCUACAAUGGACGGUACAACGAGUCGCAAGCUCGCGAGAGUAAGCUAAUCUCUUAAAGCCGUUCUCAGUUCGGACUGUAGGCUGCAACUCGCCUACACGAAGUCGGAAUCGCUAGUAAUCGCGGAUCAGCAUGCCGCGGUGAAUACGUUCCCGGGCCUUGCACACACCGCCCGUCA
rnacentral:rRNA from 1 species